AAUCAACCGAGAUUCCCCCAGUAGCGGCGAGCGAACGGGGAGGAGCCCAGAGCCUGAAUCAGUGUGUGUGUUAGUGGAAGCGUCUGGAAAGGCGCGCGAUACAGGGUGACAGCCCCGUACACAAAAAUGCACAUGCUGUGAGCUCGAUGAGUAGGGCGGGACACGUGGUAUCCUGUCUGAAUAUGGGGGGACCAUCCUCCAAGGCUAAAUACUCCUGACUGACCGAUAGUGAACCAGUACCGUGAGGGAAAGGCGAAAAGAACCCCGGCGAGGGGAGUGAAAAAGAACCUGAAACCGUGUACGUACAAGCAGUGGGAGCACGCUUAGGCGUGUGACUGCGUACCUUUUGUAUAAUGGGUCAGCGACUUAUAUUCUGUAGCAAGGUUAACCGAAUAGGGGAGCCGAAGGGAAACCGAGUCUUAACUGGGCGUUAAGUUGCAGGGUAUAGACCCGAAACCCGGUGAUCUAGCCAUGGGCAGGUUGAAGGUUGGGUAACACUAACUGGAGGACCGAACCGACUAAUGUUGAAAAAUUAGCGGAUGACUUGUGGCUGGGGGUGAAAGGCCAAUCAAACCGGGAGAUAGCUGGUUCUCCCCGAAAGCUAUUUAGGUAGCGCCUCGUGAAUUCAUCUCCGGGGGUAGAGCACUGUUUCGGCAAGGGGGUCAUCCCGACUUACCAACCCGAUGCAAACUGCGAAUACCGGAGAAUGUUAUCACGGGAGACACACGGCGGGUGCUAACGUCCGUCGUGAAGAGGGAAACAACCCAGACCGCCAGCUAAGGUCCCAAAGUCAUGGUUAAGUGGGAAACGAUGUGGGAAGGCCCAGACAGCCAGGAUGUUGGCUUAGAAGCAGCCAUCAUUUAAAGAAAGCGUAAUAGCUCACUGGUCGAGUCGGCCUGCGCGGAAGAUGUAACGGGGCUAAACCAUG
rnacentral:rRNA from 1 species